AAAAAUAACUUUAAUUCAGAAUAUGGAAGAGAAAAAUAUUUAAAGAUUUUUGGUGUAAGUCCCAUAUUUUUUGGAUUAAAAAAUGAAAUUUCUAUGAAUUAAACAAAAUAAAUGGAUUAAAUAAAAAAUCAGAAAUAAAAAAGAAAAUAAAAAAAACAAUGGCCAUCAGAUCUCCCUCAUUAAUUGAGGUGGCAGAUCUGAUGGCUAAGGGCGCGCGUUCCAUA
rnacentral:lncRNA from 1 species